CUCGUAGGUGGCCAACUAAGUCAGACGUGAAAUCCCUCGGCUUAACCGGGGAACUGCGUCUGAUACUGGAUGGCUUGAGUUCGGGAGAGGGAUGCGGAAUUCCAGGUGUAGCGGUGAAAUGCGUAGAUAUCUGGAGGAACACCGGUGGCGAAGGCGGCAUCCUGGACCGACACUGGCACUGAGGAGCGAAAGCCAGGGGAGCAAACG
rnacentral:rRNA from 1 species